rnacentral:rRNA from 1 species
UACGUAGGGUGCAAGCGUUGUCCGGAAUUAUUGGGCGUAAAGAGCUCGUAGGCGGUCUGGUACGUCGGCUGUGAAAACCCGAGGCUCAACCUCGGGCCUGCAGUCGAUACGGGCAGACUAGAGUUCGGCAGGGGAGACUGGAAUUCCUGGUGUAGCGGUGAAAUGCGCAGAUAUCAGGAGGAACACCGGUGGCGAAGGCGGGUCUCUGGGCCGACACUGACGCUGAGGAGCGAAGGCGUGGGGAGCGAACAGG